rnacentral:rRNA from 1 species
CCUUACGGCCACACCACCUUGACAGCUCCCAAUCUUGUGUGAUCUCAGCAGUAACCAGGUUAGGUCAGGCCUGGUUAACGCUAAGAAGAAAGGUGGAACGUCAAGUGAUUUUAAGGA